CACUCCUGCGGGAGGCAGCAGUGGGGAAUUUUGGACAAUGGGCGAAAGCCUGAUCCAGCAAUGCCGCGUGAGUGAAGAAGGCCUUCGGGUUGUAAAGCUCUUUUGUCAGGGAAGAAACGGUGAGAGCUAAUAUCUCUUGCUAAUGACGGUACCUGAAGAAUAAGCACCGGCUAACUACGUGCCAGCAGCCGCGGUAAUACGUAGGGUGCAAGCGUUAAUCGGAAUUACUGGGCGUAAAGCGUGCGCAGGCGGUUUUGUAAGUCUGAUGUGAAAUCCCCGGGCUCAACCUGGGAAUUGCAUUGGAGAUUGCAAGGCUAGAAUCUGGCAGAGGGGGGUAGAAUUCCACGUGUAGCAGUGAAAUGCGUAGAUAUGUGGAGGAACACCGAUGGCGAAGGCAGCCCCCUGGGUCAAGAUUGACGCUCAUGCACGAAAGCGUGGGGAGCAAACAGGAUUAGAAACCCCGGUAGUCCC
rnacentral:rRNA from 1 species